GACGAACGCUGGCGGCGUGCUUAACACAUGCAAGUCGAACGGAAAGGCCUGCUUUCCCUUGUGGAUUGCGGGUACUCGAGUGGCGAACGGGUGAGUAACACGUGAGUGAUCUGCCCCCAACUUGGGUAUAAGCCUGGGAAACUGGGUCUAAUUCCCGAUAGGACUGCAGGGUGGUGCCUGUGGUGGAAAACGAUUUUCUAGUGGUUGGGGAUGAGCUCGCGGCCUAUCAGCUUGUUGGUGGGGUAAUGGCCUGCCAAGGCGGCGACGGGUAGCCGGCCUGAGAGGGUGGACGGCCAGAUUGGGACUGGGAUACGGCCCAGACUCCUACGGGAGGCAGCAGUGGGGAAUAUUGCACAAUGGGCGGAGGCCUGAUGCAGCGACGCCGCGUGGGGGAUGACGGCCUUCGGGUUGUAAACUCCUUUCGACCGCGAGGAAGCCACCUGGUUGGAAGGGUGGUGACGGUAGUGGUAGAAGAAGCACCGGCUAACUACGUG
rnacentral:rRNA from 1 species